AUGAGAGGCGGAGAGCGUGGCCACUCCCACACCCAUCAGACCACGCCCACUCCCGCAGACCACGCCCACUUCCCAAAGCCCCGCCUCUUCCUCCCCCGCAGCCAAUCAGAUGAGGAGGGCGUGGCCACGCCCCCCCUGGCGGUGGGCGCCAUGUUGGGAGCGGGGUGGUCGGUGAAGGGCGGCCCUAUAGGGGCUAUAGGGGAGAUCUAUAGGGGAUCUAUGGGGAUCUAUGGGGAUAAAAUGGCACCAAAAGGGGCCAAAAUGGUGACGUAAAUGGGAGACAAAAUGGCGGCCGUGGAAGGGGGACAAAAUGGCGGCCGUGGAAGGGGGACAAAAUGGCGGCCGUGGAAGGGAGACAAAAUGGCGUCGGUGGGUGACAGUAAAGACGUUUUAACCCCCAAAAAAUGCUUCUUUUUGCUUUUUUCUUCUCGAUUUUAUGGCAAUUUUGGGUUAAUUUGGGGGAAAAUUGGGUAUUUUGAGGGAUAUUGUGUUACUUUGGGGAAAAAUGGGUUAUUUUGUAGGGAAAUCAGGUCAACUUGAGGAAAAAUGGGAUAUUUUGGGGUAAAUUGGGUGAAAAUGGGGUAUUUUGAGAGAAAAUGGAUAAUUUGGGGGGAAAAUAGGAUUAAUUUGGUGGAAAAUUGGGGUUAUUUUGUGGAGAAAAAGGUGAAAAUGGUUUUAUUUUGUAUGAAAAUGGUUUAUUAAAAGUUUCUUUUACAGCGUUACCAAAAACCCUUUGUUUUAUUGUGGAUUUGUUUAGGCCUCACCCCAUCCCUGCCCCCCCAACCCCACCCCACACCUCAUAUAUGGGUCAAAAAGGGGUUUGGGGGGGGGGGUCUUGGGAUGGGUUUGGGGUUGGGGGGGUUUGGGGUGGGUUUGGGGGGGAUUUGGGGGUGAAUAUGGGGGUGGGUUUGGGGUUGGGGGUGAAUUUGAGGAUGGGUUUGGGGUUGGUUUGAGGGUGGGUUUGUGUUGAGGGUGGGUUUGGGGAUAGGUUUGUGGUAAGGGGGGGGUUUGGGGGUGAAUAUGGGGGUGGGUUUGGGGUUGGGGGGGGGUUGUUGUAUUGAGGGGGGGUCCCCGCUACGUGCUGUGCUUCUGUCUCUUCCAGAAGCGUUUGACGUCGGGGUGACCCGCCGGGGUGACCACCAUGAGACGCCGGGUCGGGUUCUCAAACACCAACACCCCCAAAGAUCUGGCGUGGUCACGAAGGACCUCGAAAUCCACCUGGGACAGGAACUGGUUGUACAGCACCCCUGGGUGAUAAGGGGGGGGGGGGAAG
rnacentral:lncRNA from 1 species